UGUGCUUUUUAUCAAAUUUAUUUAUGGAAGUAUUUGCUUCCAGAAAAGUUCAUGGAUUCGAUGUUUUGGACGUUUGACUUGGCCUAGGAUAUCAGAGCUCAUAAUAUCAAACUUUCUUUCAAAGGUUGUUCCAACAGAUGCGUCAAAACUACCUGACUUUCAGAAGAUUGUCAAAUGUACAUCUGAUUUUGAAGCAUCUUUAAAAGAGCUUAUGUUCAUUUCAUCAUCAGAUGACAAGGAUAAUAGGCUUAGCAAUUUUGCUGAAAAUGUCGAGGUUCACUUUGCAUUUAAGAAAAAGACAGAGAUCUUGGCUAAAGCUAGAAAUCUGCUCCUAGAAUGUGACUUUUCCAUUCCUC